rnacentral:rRNA from 1 species
UGCCAGCUCUCCGAGUUGUAGGGAUGAUUAUUGGGCUUAAAGCGUCCGUAGCUGGCUUAGCAAGUCUCCUGUUAAAUUCAGCGACCUAAUCGUUGAGCCGCGGGAGAUACUAUUAGGCUAGGAGGCGGGAGAGGUCGACGGUACUUUCGGGGUAGGGGUGAAAUCCUAUAAUCCCGGGAGGACCACCAGUGGCGAAGGCUGUCGACUAGAACGCGCUCGACGGUGAGGGACGAAAGCUGGGGGAGCGAACCGGAUUAGAUACCCGGGUAGUCCCAGCUGUAAACUAUGCGGGCUAGGUGUUGGGGUGGCUACGGGCCACUUCAGUGCCGCAGGAAAGCCAUUAAGCCCGCCGCCUGGGGAGUACGGCCGCAAGGCUGAAACUUAAAGGAAUUGGCGGGGGAGCACCACAAGGCGUGAAGCUUGCGGUUC